rnacentral:rRNA from 1 species
CGUAGGUGCGAGCGUUGUCCGGAUUACUGGCGUAGAGCUCGUAGGUGGUUGUCGCGUCGUUGUGGAAUACCGCAGCUUAACUGUGGGUUGCAGGCGAUACGGCAUAACUUGAGUGCUGUAGGAGACUGGAAUUCCUGGUGUAGCGGUGAAAUGCGCAGAUAUCAGGAGGAACACCGAUGGCGAAGGCAGGUCUCUGGGCAGUAACUGACGCUGAGGAGCGAAAGCAUGGGAGCGAACAGGAUU